AUACCCGCUAGGAAAAGACAUCACUCGCCAGAAGAAGCACCGGGCUAACUUCCGUGCCAGCAGCCCGCGGUAAUACGGAGGGGUGCAAGCGUUAAUUGGGAAUUACUGAGCGUAAAGCGCGCGUAGGUGGCUUGAUAAGCCGGUUGUGAAAAGCCCCGGGCUCAACCUGGGAACGGCAUCCGGAACUGUCAAGCUAGAGUGCAGGAGAGGAAGGUAGAAUUCCCGGUGUAGCGGUGAAAUGCGUAGAGAUCGGGAGGAAUACCAGUGGCGAAGGCGGCCUUCUGGACUGACACUGACACUGAGGUGCGAAAGCGUGGGUAGCAAACAGGAUUAGAUACCCUGGUAGUCCACGCCGUAAACGAUGUCGACCAGCCGUUGGGUGCCUAGCGCACUUUGUGGCGAAGUUAACGCGAUAAGUCGACCGCCUGGGGAGUACGGCCGCAAGGUUAAAACUCAAAUGAAUUGACGGGGGCCCGCACAAGCGGUGGAGCAUGUGGUUUAAUUCGAUGCAACGCGAAGAACCUUACCUACUCUUGACAUCCUGCGAAUUUGGUAGAGAUACCUUAGUGCCUUCGGGAACGCAGAGACAGGUGCUGCAUGGCUGUCGUCAGCUCGUGUUGUGAAAUGUUGGGUUAAGUCCCGUAACGAGCGCAACCCUUGUCCUUAUUUGCCAGCGCGUAAUGGCGGGAACUCUAAGGAGACUGCCGGUGACAAACCGGAGGAAGGUGGGGACGACGUCAAGUCAUCAUGGCCCUUACGAGUAGGGCUACACACGUGCUACAAUGGUCGGUACAAAGGGUUGCCAACUCGCGAGAGUGAGCCAAUCCCGAAAAGCCGAUCUCAGUCCGGAUCGGAGUCUGCAACUCGACUCCGUGAAGUCGGAAUCGCUAGUAAUCGUGGAUCAGAAUGCCACGGUGAAUACGUUCCCGGGCCUUGUACACACCGCCCGUCACACCAUGGGAGUGGACUGCACCAGAAGUGGUUAGCCUAACGCAAGAGGGCG
rnacentral:rRNA from 1 species